rnacentral:rRNA from 1 species
UCUCCUACGGGUGGCAGCAGUGAGGAAUAUUGCCCAAUGGACGCAAGUCUGAGGCAGCGACGCCGCGUGGGUGAAGAAGGCCUUCGGGUCGUAAAGCCCUUUUCUGUGUGACGAGGAAGGACGGUAGCACAGGAAAAAGUCUCGGCUAACUACGUGCCAGCAGCCGCGGUAAAACGUAGGAGGCAAGCGUUAUCCGGAGUUACUGGGCGUAAAGCGUGCGUAGGCGGGUCGGUAAGUGGGUCGUGAAAGCGCCGGGCUAAACCGGGCGAGGACGAACUAGACUGCCGGUCUAGAGGCGGAUAGAGGGGUGCGGAAUUCCGGGUGUAGCGGUGAAAUGUGUAGAGAUCCGGAGGAACACCAGUGGUGCAAACGGCGCCCUGGGUCCGAACUGACGCUGAGGCACGAAAGCGUGGGGAGCGAACGGGAUUAGAUACCCCAGUAGUC